UACGUAGGGGGGCAAGCGUUGUCCGGAUUUAUUGGGCGUAAAGAGCGUGUAGGCGGCCUGAAAGGUCAGCUGUGAAAACUCGAGGCUCAACCUCGAGACGUCGGUUGAAACCAUCUGGCUAGAGUCCGGAAGAGGAGAGUGGAAUUCCCGGUGUAGCGGUGAAAAUGCGCAGAUAUCGGGAAGAACACCCGUGGCGAAGGCGGCUCUCUGGGACGGUACUGGACGCUGGAGACGCGAAAAGCGUGGGGAGCGAACAGG
rnacentral:rRNA from 1 species